GUUGGCAUUUCCCAUGUGGUUUUCUGAAGUGAACAUUUACUCUGUGUUCUUUAACAGAUGAGAAAGCUUCACGGCUGUGAGUAACUUGAAAGAGACACCCGUGGGUUGCUGACCUCUGUCAGUGAUGGUGUUUGCAGAGAUUGCAGCUGCUAUUUAUCUGCCUGCACACAGAUCACUUCACAGUUCUCCCAGACAGUUUUCAACCACGCAUAGUGGGAGCUGUCCUAUUUUCCUUGUUGUUGUCCUCAUCCUGUGUAUGGGAACUGUUGAAUCAUGGCCUGAACCUCUGAUUGACCACCUGAGGCGAGUGCUGAGUCAGCCGCAGGGGCACAGGUGAAGGCAAUUUCACCUGAGUGACCGGAAGGGGUGGAUCCUGGCUGCACCCCUCCUAGGCCCCAUUAAGGGCUGACUCCCAAGGAGGAUGGGUCUCUAUCUGGAGAUCACUCCUCUUGGAGCCCUUCUGUGAGCCCAGGACACAGGGUAGCAAGCUGCUAUGGAGCAUUCCCAUGGAAAUAUUAAGGGGACACUUUGGACAAUGUGGAGAUCCUACAUAUGCUCAUUCAUUCAUGCACAGAAACUCAACUAGCACGAUACCUCUGCAACACAGCUGACACCUCUUCCCUUGCUGUGGGGGUCUGACACAUUGCUGUGUGGAUGAAGAAUCAAAACCAUGCACAGUAAGGAGAAACACAUCUGAAAGCAACAAGACAGGUUGUGCAAUAGUGGCGGCUGGCUCUGCAGCAGUUGUGGAUGACAUGGAAACAGAACAGCUGAGAUGGAGAAGAGUGGCUCUCAGGAGUCUGGCACCCUCAGUCUCUUAUAAACCAUUAUGCUGUGGGAGCUCAACAGCUCUAGCAGUACUAAUAGUACCAGUACAUCAAUUAUCAAUUUGCAAACAGAUCUUUCUGAUGCUGAGGUUAAAAUGACUUCCUUUCAGAAGACUUAGAGUUUCACUUCAUUUUAAAAUGAAAAAAGUACUUUUUUCUUUUUUUUUGUAACAUCUUCCUCGUUUUUCUUUUUCUUUUUUCAUGUUACUUAGAAGAAUAGGUACUUAAUUAUAGAAUGGCUUGAAUUGAAAGAGAUCUCAAAGUACCACCUGGCACAAUGCUUUUUUUCCCCUCCAAAGAUCCCCAGUUGCUGUAACAUCUCUCCAAGGCUAUAAUGGACGUUAAUGUUUCUGUUUCGUGUUUAUAGAACGAAGAAGGACAUCUUGUAAAGGCGCCUUUUCAUGUGCGGAGAGACCAUAAAAAUGUAGAUCAAGACCCCAGAAUGUUAAAGAGAAUCAGGAAUGCACAUGGAAAAUGCUACACUAAUCACUGAAUUUCUGCUCCCAAAGACCUCUGUUUACUGAGCUGCAGCCAGCCCUGAUGAGUUUGGAGUAUGCCAGCAAAAGUGUGCAGAUCAGAAAGCUGCUGUGGAGUACAUGUUGUGAAGUGUAUGGGAACUGUUGAAUCACGGCCUGAACCUCUGAUUGACCACCUGAGGUGGGGAAGAGGACAUAACAGAACGAAAGCCAAGAAGAAAAUUGCAGCAAAGGGAUGGAGGAGUGCUGCUUAACCGUCUGUCUCCUGAAGUCUUCAGAUGUUGGCUAAGAUUUCCUCUGCUGGAUAUGUAUGUCAGACUUCUACAAAAUCAACCCCCGCUCAACUACUCUGAGCUGGUAGGCAUCCUAAGUAAUGCUGUUGAAUAAACUGAAGUAAUUUGGGAUACAAUUUGGCAUAAGAGAUCACAAUUACUCUGCUGAGAUUAUUCCAGCAUUACAUCCACUUAUGAAACUACAAAAGAAAUCUGUCCACUGAAAUUCAUCUUCUAUGAAAGCUGCAGGAAGUGCUGACUGUCUACUUCCAGUGUGCCUGCCCAAAGGGAGACCUCUCUGCUGGAUCCCAACAAGAGGAGAUGACAAACAAGACAAGCGCAUUUCGUAGCACCCAUGACUCAGAUGGAGCAGAUCAGCUCUUCGGCUAUUGCUUCAUUAACCAAGGCUUGUUUGCUACAGACAUCACCAUCAAGACCUUCCAGAGAUGCCACUGAAAGGCUUCUCAGUGUUGCAGAAAAAGCCACUGUUGCUUCCAAACUGCUAUAGGAACUGACAGGAGCGUUCCAUAUCCAGGUGCUGACUGACCACUGAAGAGCAGUUUGUAUGAAGAGCCUCAAAGGAGCUUCCAAAAGAAACUCAAAAACCUUGAGACAGCCUGCUGCUAUAGAGCUCUAAAAUUGAUCCGUUUAACUUUAUCAUUAUCUUAAGAAAGAACUUGAGGAGCUGAAUGAAGUGCUGUGAACUCCAUGUCUCCAUCCAUCAUCUUGUCCUCAGGACCUCGCCGUCUUGCUUUCUUGGAAUUGGCUCCUGUUCAGAAAGAGAUUAAGCAGCAAGUCUUCAAAAGCAAGAUAAAAAGCAGAACUAUGGGCCGUGCUUGGCUGUAUUCAGCAGCUUCUACCUCCCUUCUUGUGGAGCAAGGAGGAGCAGCUGGAGAAGCUGGGCUCUGCAUGAACAAGGCAUGAGGUAGAAGAAAUCACAGAGUUGGAGAGAACAGCAUGCACUGGCAUGCAUUCAGUUACAGCCGUGUGAACAAGCGGAUGUGGUUCAGGGGAAACAUGGGGAAGAUUUCAGCCAAGAUUCCUCCUCAGACACAGAGAUCAAUUUAACUGAUGGCUCCUUUCUUGGAAUCACCGUGCAUCAAACAUCUGAACUGCAAACAGUUUUGUCUCCGAAACAGAGCCUGGGACAGCCCGAGCUGCACACAUAGGCACAACGGCUGUGAGGAGGACACGAUGCCACUGGAAAUCUUGGCUGCGUCACCCUCAGCUUAACUCAGAGCAAACCAAGCUGGGGCCGCCUGUCCUCCUGAACAAAGAGAUCCUCCAGGCACCAGCCGAGCUGGGCUGCCACGUUCCCACCACCACGGGAACAGCCUGUCCCCUGCUGCCAAACAGCUCAGCGCCUGCCCUCCUG
ensembl:lncRNA